rnacentral:rRNA from 1 species
GAUGAACGCUGGCGGCGUGCCUAAUACAUGCAAGUCGAGCGAACGGACGAGAAGCUUGCUUCUCUGAUGUUAGCGGCGGACGGGUGAGUAACACGUGGAUAACCUACCUAUAAGACUGGGAUAACUUCGGGAAACCGGAGCUAAUACCGGAUGAUAUUUUGAACCGCAUGGUUCAAAAGUGAAAGACGGUCUUGCUGUCACUUAUAGAUGGAUCCGCGCUGCAUUAGCUAGUUGGUAAGGUAACGGCUUACCAAGGCAACGAUGCAUAGCCGACCUGAGAGGGUGAUCGGCCACACUGGAACGGAGACAGGGUCCAGACUCCUACGGGAGGCAGCAGUAGGGAAUCUUCCGCAAUGGGCGAAAGCCUGACGGAGCAACGCCGCGUGAGUGAUGAAGGUCUUCGGAUCGUAAAACUCUGUUAUUAGGGAAGAACAUAUGUGUAAGUAACUGUGCACAUCUUGACGGUACCUAAUCAGAAAGCAACGGCUAACUACGUG